AAAAGCAUGAAAUGUAAUUAAGUAAUUGCCACCAGACAUCCCUGCAAAUAGGGGGUAGUAUUCUGCACAUCUGACAGAAUGCUUCAUUGUUCUCACUUUCUCCGCCACACUGUCUUUUCCUGCGGAUGGGGUUGUGGAAUAACCAAAUAAUGUGGACCGGCUGCACAGCACUGUGCACUACUUUAAACACUCUGUAGGAGCUUUGUCCAGUGCAGCUGCUAUCGUAGAUUCAAGUUUGGAAAUACGAGUGGAAAAACUAUUUGCUGAAAAUUGGUCAAUAAAUCAAAACCAUGUGAAUUUCCAUGUGCGGUCAUAAUCAAAUAAAAACAAUUCCAAGUAUCGUCAACCUCAAGUGCUAAUGAGAACGGCCAUCAAAGGACCUUCGGAUAAAUUUAAUUUGCUGCAGGUAAUUAGCCACAAAUAACACCAUGGAACGGAAAUAUUUACAUAUGUGCUGAGAGACCGCAGCACGCAACAUUUAUAUUUAUACCCGCCCAUGUGGGUGCCCAUGUGUGUGCCAUGACAACCCGUUUAACGAGCCAAUCACGCAGACGUGGAUAAAUAAAUAGUCAAAUUAAUACGAA